rnacentral:rRNA from 1 species
GACGUAGGGGGCAAGCGUUGUCCGGAAUCAUUGGGCGUAAAGAGCGUGUAGGCGGCUUGGUAAGUCCGCUGUGAAAGUCCAGGGCUCAACCCUGGAAUGCCGGUGGAAACUGUCAAGCUUGAGUCCGGAAGAGGCGAGUGGAAUUCCUGGUGUAGCGGUGAAAUGCGCAGAUAUCAGGAGGAACACCAAUGGCGAAGGCAGCUCGCUGGGACGGUACUGACGCUGAGGAGCGAAAGCGUGGGGAGCAAACAGG